CAAAACAAACUAGAAAGUAAACCUGUAAAAUCACGUUAGUAUUAACCUGAGGCGUCACGAAGACUGUCCUUGGAAUUUAUCCGCCUCAAUGUGCGCAAACUCCCCAAGAUACAACAGGUCCUUCUCCUAGUGAUGGAGGUAACAGAACAGCAAGAACUAUAAGUUUAUCAGGUAGAUGUUUAUUCAGGAAUUAGAAAAUUGGAGGAGAAGAAGAACCAAGUUGUGAGUUAUUAGUGUGGCUUUAUAUAUUU
rnacentral:lncRNA from 1 species